rnacentral:pre_miRNA from 1 species
CGGGGCCUCUGUGAGCAUCUUACCGGACAGUGCUGGACUUACGGCUUGGCUCUAACACUGUCUGGUAACGAUGUUCAAAGGCGGCCCGC